rnacentral:rRNA from 1 species
GACGAACGCUGGCGGCGUGCUUAACACAUGCAAGUCGAACGGAAAGGCCCUGCUUUUGUGGUGUUCUCGAGUGGCGAACGGGUGAGUAACACGUGAGUAACCUGCCCUUGACUUUGGGAUAACUUCAGGAAACUGGGGCUAAUACCGUAUAGGAGCUCCUGCUGCAUGGUGAGGGUUGGAUAGUUUCGGCGGUUGGGGAUGGACUCGCGGCUUAUCAGCUUGUUGGUGGGGUAGUGGCUGACCAAGGCUUUGACGGGUAGCCGGCCUGAGAGGGUGACCGGCGACAUGGGGACUGAGAUACGGCCCAGACUCCUACGGGAGGCAGCAGUGGGGAAUAUUGCACAAUGGGCGGAAGCCUGAUGAAGAAACGCCGCGUGCGGGAUGACGGCCUUCGGGUUGUAAACCGCUUCCGCCUGUGACGAAGCGUGAGUGACGGUAAUGGGUAAAGAAGCACCGGCUAACUACGUG